AGCGGCGGAUGGGUGAGUAACACGUGGGGAACCUGCCCCUAAGUCUGGGAUACCAUUUGGAAACAGGUGCUAAUACCGGAUAAUAAAGCAGAUCGCAUGAUCAGCUUUUGAAAGGCGGCGUAAGCUGUCGCUAAGGGAUGGCCCCGCGGUGCAUUAGCUAGUUGGUAAGGUAACGGCUUACCAAGGCGACGAUGCAUAGCCGAGUUGAGAGACUGAUCGGCCACAUUGGGACUGAGACACGGCCCAAACUCCUACGGGAGGCAGCAGUAGGGAAUCUUCCACAAUGGACGCAAGUCUGAUGGAGCAACGCCGCGUGAGUGAAGAAGGUUUUCGGAUCGUAAAGCUCUGUUGUUGGUGAAGAAGGAUAGAGGUAGUAACUGGCCUUUAUUUGACGGUAAUCAACCAGAAAGUCACGGCUAACUACGUGCCAGCAGCCGCGGUAAUACGUAGGUGGCAAGCGUUGUCCGGAUUUAUUGGGCGUAAAGCGAGCGCAGGCGGAAAAAUAAGUCUAAUGUGAAAGCCCUCGGCUUAACCGAGGAACUGCAUCGGAAACUGUUUUUCUUGAGUGCAGAAGAGGAGAGUGGAACUCCAUGUGUAGCGGUGGAAUGCGUAGAUAUAUGGAAGAACUCCAGUGGCGAAAGGCGGCUCUCUGGUCUGCAACUGACGCUGAGGCUCGAAAGCAUGGGUAGCGAACAGGAUUAGAUACCCUGGUAGUCCAUGCCGUAAACGAUGAGUGCUAAGUGU
rnacentral:rRNA from 1 species